GGAGCAUUGUGCAAUGCUUCAGGAAGUCCAGUUUGGGGAAUGCUGCCUGCAUAGCAUACACCAUCUACUGCUUUGCACUUUGUUCUUAGGAUUUCUGGAAUUCGGUAUAGUUGAGUACUCCCAAAGUGUGGUCUCGAUUAAGAUAAAUAUAGUUUAUCCUCUCUCUCUCUUGAAGUAUGUGAAUGCACUCCACCAGGGCAUGAUGCUGUUUCCCUACAAAGAACACCAUUUCCUCAAGACAAGGCAAAAGCAACGAGGGAGAGAUGCACAAUUUUUUUGAGUGGAAGAGGAGGGCAAUUGUGUAAACUUAG
rnacentral:lncRNA from 1 species